GGGCCGGUAGUUCAGUCUGGGAGAACGCCGGUUUUGCACACCGGAGGUCGAGGGUUCAAAUCCCUCCCGGUCCA
rnacentral:tRNA from 1 species